GUGAUUGCUUUGGCAGCACAUAUGCUAAAAUCAGAACAAUGCAGAGAAGAUUAGCGUGGCCUCUGCAUGAGAAUGGCAUACAAAUUUGUGAAGUGUUCUAUAUAUUU
ensembl:snRNA U6 U6 spliceosomal RNA